UUUUUUCUAUUCUUCUCUCUAUACGUUAGUGUUCUAACCAAUAAUCACCGAUGCGAUGUUCUGUCCAAGCAAUUCAGGAACCAUCUAACAAAUGCCAAAGUGCUGUACUUUGUGAAUUUCGGUAAACGGAAUCCAAAGUGUGAUACUUUGUGAAUUUUGUUAAGGUUCGAAUCUCGUGACUACCGUUAGGUUUGAUUUGGGUUUUACACAAAUACGUAUUCCAUUCUGUUAAACUAUAUGUUUAACUACCAGAAUACUCCCAACUACACACUUACAAUCAAACAAGCUGUUAAAUCAUCAGAAGGUUCAGAACAAUAAAGUAUACGCUUAAUUAUCAGAAGGAAUAGAAUCAAGAAGCUUGCUAAAUCAUGCUUAUACUGUAAUUACAGUAGAUCGGAAUAAGAGUUGGAUACGGCACCAAAUGGCUUACAGAAGUGGCUUGAUUUAUCAAUUAAAUUAA
rnacentral:lncRNA from 1 species